CCUACGGGUGGCAGCAGUGAGGAAUAUUGGUCAAUGGGCGCGAGCCUGAACCAGCCAAGUCGCGUGAGGGAGGACGGCCCUACGGGUUGUAAACCUCUUUUGCCGGGGAGCAACGGGCGUCACGUGUGGCGCCACUGAGAGUACCCGGAGAAAAAGCAUCGGCUAACUCCGGGCCAGCAGCCGCGGUAAUACGGAGGAUGCGAGCGUUCGCCGGUUUUAUUGGGUUUAAAGGGUGCGUAGGCGGAUCGUUAAGUCAGUGGUCAAAUUGAGGGGCUCAACCCCUUCCCGCCAUUGAAACUGGCGCUCUUGAGUGGAAGAGAAGUAUGCGGAAUGCGUGGUGUAGCGAUGAAAUGCAUAGAUAUCACGCAGAACCCCGAUUGCGAAGGCAGCAUACCGGUGCACAACUGACGCUCAGGCACGAAAGCGUGGGUAUCGAACAGGAUUAGAUACCCGAGUAGUC
rnacentral:rRNA from 1 species